rnacentral:rRNA from 1 species
GAUGAACGCUAGCUACAGGCCUAACACAUGCAAGUCGAGGGACCGGCGCACGGGUGAGUAACACGUAUCCAACCUCCCCUGUACUCGGUGAUAGCCUUUCGAAAGAUAGAUUAAUACCCGAUAUAAAGGAUGGGGAUGCGUUCCAUUCGUUUGUUGGUGAGGUACCGGCUCACCAAGCAUUCGAUGGCUAGUGGUUCUGAGAGGCAGGUGCACCAGAGUGGAACUGAGGCACGGUCCAAACUACUACGGGGGGCAGCAGAGAGGAAUAUUGGUGAAUGGGGGCUAGCCUGAACCAGCCACGUGGCGUGAAGGAUGAAGGCUUAUGGGUCGUAAACUUCUUUUAUAUAAGAAUAGGUAUUAUAUGAAUAAGGAUCGGCUAACUCCGUGCCAGCAGCCGCGGUAAUUC